UCUGCCCCUACAAUCCUUGGAGGAUUGAAUGAUUGGAUACCUCUCUUUCUCUCUCUCUCUCUCUCUCUCUCUCUCUCUCUCUCUCGCUCUCGCUCUCUCUCUCUCUCUCUCACACACACACACACACACACAUACAUGCGAACCUGUUGAAAAACAAUAUCCUUUGGUGUUGCCUCACCUUUACAUCCAGUUAGAACCUGAAUAAGUCUAAAUAUAAGAUAGAGGUCAAAGUCUGCAAAACAGCCUGAGAAUCCAAGUUUUCUGUUUAUUACUUGAAAAGAGGUAACUAAGAGCCUGUUAAACAUCAUUCGGUAUGCCGUGAGCUUUACAGAAUUUCCACUGGUGUCCUGGAAGGAUCAUGAAAGAAACAAACUGGUUCUCGAGUGGUAUUUCAAAUACUGUAGCAGAUGGGCAGGUAAGUUAUCUUGGUAUAGUGACUCUUUUCUGAUAUUUACUGUGCUUCAUACCUUAGAGCAAUUGGCUUGUUCUUCAACAUGGGUAAAGAUAGUAAUCUUUCAGUGGAAGGGGUCAAAGAAUGAUGUGGGCAGGAGUUAUUUACUUAGGAAUCCAGAAGAAAUGCUUGUGUCUAAGACUAUCUGACAGAAAGUUGAUAGUGAUGUAGGUGGAAUUAUUCCCUACUGACUAGUUGAUUCUCUGAUUUUCUCACUGUGAAUACAGUUGAUUGGCAUGAUUACAUAUCUUCUGCCAUGUGUGUUUCUUAGUUCUAGUGUAAUGCAGAUAUUAAGAAAAAGCUACUUGUUGAAAACUUGCAAUGGUCUUUUGUGAGCUGAAUGAACUCAUGAACAGUCAAGGGUGAGGUACUUUGGCUGUUCUGGGAUUUAUAUUUGCACUUUGGUGUCUUAAAUAUUGUCCUACAUAAUUGCUGCAGUUUUUCAUCAUUUUAGACUAGUUGGAGAAACCCAAACUCAGAAGACACGAGUGACCACAAUUGGGAAAUGUAUUCAGUUUUCUGGAAAGGGCUUUUUGUGAAUCAUGUUCUAGUUAUGACAGGAUAAGGGAAAGUAAAAUAGUAAAUACUUAAAUAUGUGAAAUUAUAAGGGAAAAUUUUGUGUUGGUGAAAUAACAUUGCUGUAGUUAAGUGCAGAUGACUAAAUGAUUAUAUUGGGCUAUAUAUGGUAGUCAAAGAUGUACUUCUUGAACAUCAGCUGGCAUUCAAAUAAUCCUGUGUUAUGUGGACCAUAUUCAACACAUGAAGUGUGGUAGGGGGGAAUCUAACCAACUGUUUUGGUUCUGCUGUUACUAGUGAUAAAAAAUUAAUUUGCUCUGUAAAUUUGCCAUUAUAGGGUUCAUCAUUCUAACUUUUAAAUAUUGAUUUUGUUUUUGCUUUCUGAUGGCCAAACUUUAAAUAAGGUGUUUAUUACAUGUGUAACUUUUGAUAGCAUCUGUCUUGUUCAGCAGGGGAAGCCAAUGAAGCUGCUGAUACCUCUUGAUUUCUGGCUUAUUAAACUUCAGAAAGAAACAGGCUUUCCUUCUAGAUUUUUGUAGUUUCUUUUCCUGUCAUGAGUUGACAUAGGAAGCACUGGAGCCCAUGGAAAAACGGAAAGAAUCAAAACAAACAAAAUCACGUUGGAAUUUUGGAAACAUUUGUGAGUAUCUAGUUUAUGUCAAGUUUUGGAUAUUGUGCAGGUGAUCUAUAUGGGCCCAAAUUUUCUAAAAAUAUCUCCAUGAACAUAAGAAAAAUAUUGGAAACCAUCAUCCUCUUUAAAUUCCAAUUUUCUUAACAUUUGACCAAUUAAAAACAUCAGAUAUGAGUGCAUAAUUCCAAUAUGAGGAACUUUGAAAGUUCAUGAUAAUAGUUUAAAUGUGAAAUGAACAGUUUACAAAAAUCACUAGCUUAAUAAUGACAGGUAAUGGUAAUAUCAUCUACACUUUCUGGCAUGUAAAUUUUUAUAACUUUAUUAAUAAGCCUGUUUCUUUUUUUGUCUUGUUUAACCUGGCAUUACUUUGUCAAUACUCAUAAGAAAAAGAUCAAUAUAUUUCUUUCAGCUUCCCACAUCUGCCUAAUAUUUUUGAUUGAACUUAUCUCUUGCUUCAUUCUCCAGGAUAUUUCUUGGACUCUGUAUUUCUUAUUAAAGUUGAACAGAGAAAUGAAAAACCUUAGGCAUAACUGCAGAUGCAGCCAGAAACUUCAACUGGUAUUCUUUUCACAUGUCACAUUAAUUUUAAGAUUGGGUCAUCUCUUAAGUAUAAUAUGUAUAACUCAGUUGAAUUUCCUAUUCUUUUUAGGAAAUAAAUGUCUUCCCUUUAAGGCUUCACUAUAACUCGUCUGUUCUGAAAAGUUAUCUGUUCAUAUCUACUUGGACAUUUCCUAAGCAAAUUAUCUUUGAAACACUAGACAAACCAAUGACAGGAUGGCUUGAAGCAAAGGAUAAAUUUUCUGCUGAAAACUGGCUCUCACCAGACUCCUAAGUGGAAUCAGAGAGGGAAAGAGAGGUCAAAGGAAGCACAAGUGCUACUUGAAACAAGGAGUGACACUUUGAGGGUGGCUUGCGUUCUUGAGGAGACUCCAGACACACUGCAAUCAGAAAACCAACAUUAGCCCCAGACAGGAUGCAUGAGUCAAGGGCAUCUAAAGGAGAUGGAACACGUGGCAUCCAGGCAUUUGCGACUUUCCAAUUGCCAGGCUCCACUUGCGGUUCAUGCUGCUGGUUGGAGCAUACUGGAAAGAAAACAUAAAUGGUUUAAAUUGGGUAGCAGAGCUAACAAUUCUCAUGUGACUUUCUGAAAAGAUGAGGAAUGAAACUGUCAGAACCAUUGGAAGCCUUAAGUCUGCUGGGGCAGGGGACAAAAGAACAAUUUUUGGCACCAGUAAACAGAACAGGGACUAUGCCAUAUAUGGACCAGAGACAAGACUUCCAAGCAAAAUUCCUAUGAUCUCAAAACUCAUGCUACUCAUACAGCUAUAUUGAAUUCCAUUCAAUACCAAAGUAGAACCUUAAGCCAGUUUAUCUGGUUUGGCUUUGAAGCAGCAAUAAAAACCAGGAAACUUCCUGACCUGGGUCAUUUCUAAAAGGAGUUGUUUUCUUUUAACUUUUCCCAUUUUAAGAGCAGUUAUACUGACAGGUAUGUGUGUGAAAGAGUGUGGUGAAGAGGGAAUUUGCUAACACAGGAAACUUGUCUAGGAAUCCUCCAAAUUUACUGUAGGUCUGGCCUUUAAGCAAUCACAGUAUGAGUAGUAGACACAAUGGUAUAAAACAAAUAUUAUUUGCAAUCAGAUGUGGUAGAUACCAAUAGGUUUCAAGAAUCAGAUUGGUUUCAUUCUUUGGUGACCUUGGUGACCUCGUUGCAUCCAAAUGACAUCUGGGAGUAGAAACUCCAUUCACACGGAAAGAGGGUAAACAAAUGGUGCAGCAAAGUCCAUUUUGUGAGGAACUGUCUUACAACACUUGACAAGUAACUUUUCUAUUUAGAUGAAUUCUGCUCCAAUUAGUCCUUCUGGAAAACAAAAGUGUCAUGGUUCUCUACUGUUGAGUUGCAAGAAAAGUCACCAUUUUGAGAGGGUUCAAAGUCAGCUUUUGGAAAGAGUUAUUCAACAGCAGUAGUGUUAAGAAAAUGAAUAGCCAUUACUUCUUUUGAAAAGAAAUAUGUUUAUAAUAUUUUACAAAAUAUAUUUCAUAUAUUAAUUUUUUCUCCUUUAGAUUACUUUAUUUCUGCUGAGGGUAUCUUAGAUAGUUCACUGUUGAUUAUAAACAGUGAGAAAAAGAAUAAGUGAGAGUAAAAUCAACUUAGUUUCUAGUUUUUAUUUUAUUAGCUUUUUAAAACAACCAUAAAGAAAAAAUGAUUAAAAUAAGUGAUUCAUAUUAACGAAAUUCAAUAUUCAAGGAUUCCCAUGGCUUUCUUCCACAUGGUCUACUAUACCUGGACAAGGAGAUCCUAAGUGGAUGAAAACCAAACCUGUCUUGUCAUUAAUCCCAUUUCUUUAGGACUCUUAUCAAAUAAUAUGUAAAAUGUGCUAUACUAUCUUAAGUCAAAUUUUCUUUUGAAAUAGGAAUCUUAGAAUGCUUUAAUCAAAGAAGAUUUGGAGUAUUUCUGGUCCCUACCAGUGGAUGGAAUACAUUUUAUUGGUUAAAGGACCUCCAUGAGGAGCAUUAACUCACUGGACACAGUUGAUCCUGGUCUCUAAGAGAAGAGUCCAUUGUUAUUAAUGACUCAAAAACAAUGUAAACUUGGCUAUAAUUUAUUGCUUUAAAUUUUGCAUUAACUUCAUUAGCAAUUGUUAAUCAUCACUUUUUCCCACUUCUUCCUAGUUCUUCUAUUAAUAGCCUUAAUAAUAUGUUUUUUCCUAUAAAAAUAUGUUGAGUAUUUCUCCCAAUAUACUUGUGUUCCAUAAAAAUCACAUCAAAAUGAAAUUAAAAUCAUCAGUACAGUAAUGAAAUUUCUUUCAGCUAACUGAUUUCUAUGAAAUUGGUUCUAACUUCUUUUUAGGUUUUGAAGAUGAGAGUCAUUUACUAUCUUUGUGACUUUAAGUACCUGCCUAAUGACAGACAGAAGCUGUAGCCUGGGUGUGGAUUUUUCACACAUACAUGUUUAGAGAAUCUAUGCUCACCUAAAAAUUAAAUAUUUGUUGCCUGUAGAAUCUGGUGGACCCUUGCAGAAGGUAGUAAAAAAAAAAAAAAAAAAAAGUUAAAAUGACAAAAACGACAACAGCAACAACAACAAAAUCCCUCUA